rnacentral:rRNA from 1 species
UACAGAGGGUGCGAGCGUUAAUCGGAAUUACUGGGCGUAAAGCGUGCGUAGACGGUUAUUUAAGUCGGAUGUGAAAGCCCCGGGCUCAACCUGGGAAUUGCAUUCGAGACUGAAUAGCUAGGGUACGGUAGAGGGAAGCGGAAUUUCCGGUGUAGCGGUGAAAUGCGUAGAUAUCGGAAGGAACAUCAGUGGCGAGAGCGGCUUCCUGGACCAGUACCGACGUUCAGGCACGAAAGCGUGGGGAGCAAACAGG